rnacentral:rRNA from 1 species
GACGAACGCUGGCGGCGUGCCUAAUACAUGCAAGUUGAGCGCUGAAGGUUGGUACUUGUCCCAACUGGAUGAGCAGCGAACGGGUGAGUAACGCGUGGGGAAUCUGCCUUUGAGCGGGGGACAACAUUUGGAAACGAAUGCUAAUACCGCAUAAAAACUUUAAACACAAGUUUUAAGUUUGAAAGAUGCAAUUGCAUCACUCAAAGAUGAUCCCGCGUUGUAUUAGCUAGUUGGUGAGGUAAAGGCUCACCAAGGCGAUGAUACAUAGCCGACCUGAGAGGGGGAUCGGCCACAUUGGGACUGAGACACGGCCCAAACUCCUACGGGAGGCAGCAGUAGGGAAUCUUCGGCAAUGGACGAAAGUCUGACCGAGCAACGCCGCGGGAGUGAAGAAGGUUUUCGGAUCGUAAAACUCUGUUGGUAGAGAAGAACGUUGGUGAGAGUGGAAAGCUCAUCAAGUGACGGUAACUACCCAGAAAGGGACGGCUAACUACGUG